rnacentral:lncRNA from 1 species
AGAAAGGAAAACAGAAGGGCAAGGAAGAGGAGUUGGCCAACAGGGAGCAGGUAGUCUUCAUUGUUCAAAUCAUCCUCAUCUGUGAAAUGAACCCAUUAGAUGAGAAUCAGUUGAUCUUUCAAUUCUGCAAACACUGUAUAGUCAGAGAUCAAUUGCAGAAAAUGGGAGCUAUCUGAACUGCAUGAAGUGAAAAUGGAUCUAAUCCAAGAAACUAAGAAAACUUUUGGAAAGGUCAAAAGAGCCAUGACACCAAAAACAAGACUCAGCAACAAUGCCCAAAACAACAACUCCGCAAGACAGUUGCUUCCUAUGCCACAAACACAGGGAUGCAUCACCUUACUGGUGUCAGGGUCAGAAGUUUCCUGUGCAACCACCUGUUUAGAGCAAGGUCACACUCUGUAGACAGACAUCCACCAAAAAAAACAUGGAACGUGGUUGUCCUGAGCCCUGCCUCUCAGCACCUAUGAAACCAAUGACCACCUACUAGAAUGCACUACGGGAAACUCAGUGUUUCCGUGGGCAUUGCCUGCUUAUCAGCAGAACCAAUGAAAGCAACAGAAAGUUAG